GAACCUGAAACCGUGUACGUACAAGCAGUGGGAGCACGCUUCGGCGUGUGACUGCGUACCUUUUGUAUAAUGGGUCAGCGACUUAUAUUCUGUAGCAAGGUUAACCGAAUAGGGGAGCCGAAGGGAAACCGAGUCUUAACUGGGCGUUAAGUUGCAGGGUAUAGACCCGAAACCCGGUGAUCUAGCCAUGGGCAGGUUGAAGGUUGGGUAACACUAACUGGAGGACCGAACCGACUAAUGUUGAAAAAUUAGCGGAUGACUUGUGGCUGGGGGUGAAAGGCCAAUCAAACCGGGAGAUAGCUGGUUCUCCCCGAAAGCUAUUUAGGUAGCGCCUCGUGAAUUCAUCUCCGGGGGUAGAGCACUGUUUCGGCAAGGGGGUCAUCCCGACUUACCAACCCGAUGCAAACUGCGAAUACCGGAGAAUGUUAUCACGGGAGACACACGGCGGGUGCUAACGUCCGUCGUGAAGAGGGAAACAACCCAGACCGCCAGCUAAGGUCCCAAAGUCAUGGUUAAGUGGGAAACGAUGUGGGAAGGCCCAGACAGCCAGGAUGUUGGCUUAGAAGCAGCCAUCAUUUAAAGAAAGCGUAAUAGCUCACUGGUCGAGUCGGCCUGCGCGGAAGAUGUAACGGGGCUAAACCAUGCAC
rnacentral:rRNA from 1 species